AUUGAACGCUGGCGGCAGGCCUAACACAUGCAAGUCGAGAGGAGCGGCGGACGGGUGAGUAAUGCCUAGGAAUCCGACUGGUAGUGGUGGAUAACGUCCGGAAACGGGCGAUAAUAACGCAUCCUAUCAGAUGAGGCCAGGUCGGAUUAGCUAGUUGGUGGGGUACAGGCCUACCACGCGGACGCUCCGUAACUGGUCUGAGAGGAUGAUCAGUCACCCUGGCACGUAGACACGGUCCCGACUCCUACGGGAUGUAGCGUUGGGGACUAUUGGGCAAUGGGCCAAAGCCUGAUCCCGCCAUGCCGCGUGUGUUAAGAAGUUCUUCGGAUUGUAAAGCACUUUAAGUUGGGUGGCGUUCCCAACAGAAUGAGCACCGGCUAACUUGGUGCCAGCAGCCGCGGUAAUUC
rnacentral:rRNA from 1 species